UGGAUUUAAAGAGCAAUUAGACCCAAAGGUUAAUGGCUGGACGGUUUGGGUAUGAAAUAAGCAAGAAAACAAUGUGAACAAGGGACAAAAUUGGAAUUAGCAUAAAAGUUAAUAGUUAAAAAAAUGAUGUAAUUGAAAAUCUAGACAUUUCUUCAUCUUUCUCAGCCAGAAACGCCGUAGCAGGUCUCCUAUGCUGGUUUUUCAUUUUUUUGCACCAUUACUUAUCUAGUCACUCGAGGAUCGAAGGAAAUGUCGGAGGCCGAUCACACUAUCAAAGAAAUAACUCGGUAUAACUAGGCGUUUUGUUUUAGGUAUGGCAUGUAUAGAAACUUAGCUACUUUUGGUAUAAUAUGAAUAAUGAAUGAUGUGUAAAUACUUGCUAGUGAUUAGCUAAGAAAAUAGCUGAUGAUAUACAUGUUUAUUAAUAUGUAUGAUUGAAUGAUGAUUAUCACAUGAAAAUUAUGAAAA